CCCUGAUAGACUAAGAACAGUACAAUGC
rnacentral:sRNA from 1 species